CCUACGGGGGGCAGCAGUGGGGAAUAUUGCACAAUGGGCGAAAGCCUGAUGCAGCAACGCCGCGUGAAGGAAGAAGGGUUUCGGCUCGUAAACUUCUAUCAACAGGGACGAAAGAAAUGACGGUACCUGAAUAAGAAGCCCCGGCUAACUACGUGCCAGCAGCCGCGGGAAUACGUAGGGGGCAAGCGUUAUCCGGAAUUACUGGGUGUAAAGGGAGCGUAGGCGGGAUUGCAAGUUGGAUGUGAAAACUGCGGGCUCAACCCGGAGCGU
rnacentral:rRNA from 1 species